AGAAUAAAGCGUGAAGGAUAACGUUGCGUCAGCAACGGCCCGUAGGGCGAGGCGAAGCCGAGUCAUCCUGCACAACCCACCA
rnacentral:sRNA from 2 species